UCUCAGCGCUACGAAAUUUGGGAGGAGACAAGAUAUAUUCGCGCCUCGCUCUAACUGCCAGCGCCGGCUGCCUCUGCUCCGACGCAUACGCUUUUUGGAAGACUAGCCCAAGGAGCGUUCAGCCGGAAUAACUUUUGCAUCAGAGUUCCGGAGUUGAAGGCGUGUGGACCAGUUACCGCUGUGAAUGUCAGGCUGGUUGAUUUUAUAAUUUAUUUUAAGACGAAGGCUGUAAGCCAUGUUGAAUAGGCAAUUCCGCUCAAUGCGAAUUAGACUGCCCUUGAAUGGCAUUUGGCAGAAGAGGCCCCGGCGGAAACCUGUCUGACCAGUGUAUCCCACCUUCUGCCCCAUCGUGGGAGAAGAGCUAUCAAUGGCUGCUGAUUGGAAUUGUGGAUUCUAGAGAGACACCUUCAGGAGAAAUAAGACCAUUACAACACUGAACUUUUGCUUUGGAAAAAAUUUUGAACUUUUGAUAACAGUCAUGAGAACUUCUAAGGAGGAUUUGUUUGUCUGCAAGCGGCUUGACUUUGCUUAAAAUAAAAAGAGGAAUACAACAAAACUUUUAAAUGGAACAAUAUCAAUUUGGAAAGAAUAAAAUGGCAUAGGAGAUUAGGGAAAUGAUGAAAAUGAUGUAUUUGUCACUGAAAAUGGAAAUAAGGGAAAUAAUUAUAAUGUUACAUGAAGAACCGAAAUCUGAUGAUCCAAAAAUUGUGUUAGAGUAUAAUCAAGUGACAAGGAAACAACAAUUGAGAAGCAAGACAUAGAGACUGAAAAUAAAGAAGAAGACAAAGACAGCAAGAUUGACUAUGGGAAUUUAAAUGAGUUUUGGAUAGUAACAAUAAAAAUGAGAAUUUUAAAGAAUACAUUGGGAUUAAUAAUGGAAAAAACAGAAAGGUUGGAAAGAGACAAAGAGGGGAAAAAGGGUGGAGAAUGAAUAUUUAAAAAUUAAAUAAUUACAUUGGGAUUAACAGUGGAAAGACAAGAAAGAGGGAAAAGGGAUGGAAAACAACAGGAAGUACAGGGCAAAAUAGAAGAGUCCAUGACUUUGAGAUACAAAAUGAUUACACUGGGAUUAACUGGAAAAAUAAGAAAAAGAGAAAAGAGAUGGGAAAUAAUGGGAAAUACAGGGCAAAAUAGGAGAGUUCAGGAUUUUAAAGCACAAAAGAAAAAAAGGGGAAAGAAAAAGAAAAAAAUAAAAACAGAAAGGGAGAAAUGGAGAAAGAAAUGAAAGAGGAAUAUGUUAUAUAUACUUAGAAUUGAAAUAUGAAUUGAUGUAAGAUUUAUAUAUGUAAUGAGUAUUAAGAAAAAGUUGAGAAUGUGAAAACUGGAUGUAUGGAAAUUUAAAAAGUUGAAAUGAUAUUAUAUUAUGAAUUAAUUAGAUGGUGAAAGUAGAAAUGAUUAAGUUGUUUGAAAAGGUAUAAAUACAUAUGUUUGAUAAAAUAAUUGAAAAUUAGAGAAGAUUCAAGGAAAUAUAUGGUGAAAAAUUUGGUUUAUUAUAUAAAGAGAAAAGAUGGCUAUGUAACUGACUUUUAUUAAGAUGUUGGAUUGUAUUAUUUAGAACAAGAUUUAAGGAAAUGUAUGGUAUAAAACAAUUGGGUUUAUUAUCCUUAUAAAAAAUGAAUGAUUGUAACACCACAUAAUUGAUUUGUAUUAAGAUGUUGGAUAUUGAAAUAGCUGACAAUGGAAAACAUUAAUGAUUAUAUUAAGGGAAUAUAAGGAAAUACUAGGAAUUAUAUUAUGUGAGAUUUUAAAUUUGAGGGGUUUAAUAUAGAGAUGAAGGGAAAAACUGAAUUUGGCUAAAAUUAAAGGUUAGGAUGAAGGGAAAUAUUGGUUUUUUAAAAAAUAGAAUAAAUAUUAUGGCAAAAAGGGAAUAUAUAAGUUGUAGAUUUAUGACAAAUUAAAUUUAUCAUUUAGUUGAAAUGACUAAAAA